rnacentral:rRNA from 1 species
UUGAUUAUGGCUCAGAUUGAACGCUGGCGGAUGCUUUUACACAUGCAAGUCGAACGGCAGCACGGACUGGUCUGGUGGCGAGUGCGAACGGGUGAGUAAUGUAUCGGAACGUGCCUAGUAGCGGGGGAUAACUACGCGAAAGCGUGCAGCUAUUCCUGCUCGCCCUUCGGGGGAAAGCGGAGGCCUUCGGGCCUCGCACUAUUAGAGCGGCCGAUAUCGGAUUAGCUAGUUGGUGGGGGUAACGGCUCGCAAGGCGACGAUCCGUAGCUGGUUUGAGACGACCAGCCACGCGGACGAGACACGGCUGCAGGCGGCUCCUACAGGAGGCAGCGGUGAAAUUUUGGACAAUGGGGGAAACCCUGAUCCAGCCAUCCCGCGUGUGCGAUGAAAUUUCGGGUUUGUAAAGCACUUUUGGCAGGAAAGAAACGGCACGGGAUAAUACCCAUUACGGCAAUGACCUGCAGAAUAAGCACCGGCUAACUACGUACCAGCAGCCGCGGUAAUACGUAGGGUGCAAGCGUUAAUCGGAAUUACUGGGCGUAAAGCGUGCGCAGGCGGUUCAGAAGAUGUGAAAUCCAGAGCUUAACUUUGGAACUGCAUUUUUAACUACCGAGCUACAGAGUGUGUCAGGAGGUGGAAUUCCCGCGAUAACAGCGAUGAAAUGCGUAGAUAUGCGGAGGAACACCGAUAGCGAAGGCAGCCUCCUGGAUACCACUGACGCUCAUGCACGAAAGCAUUGGGAGCAAACAGGAUUGAUGCCCUGGUAGUCCACGCCCCUAAACGAUGUCAACUAGCUGUUGGAGACCUUCGGGCCUUGGUGGCCUGACUAACGCGUGAAGUUGACCGCCUGGGAGUACGGUCGCAAGAUUAAAACUCAAAGGAAUUGACGGGGACCCGCACAAGCGGUGGCAGAUGAUGUGGAUUAGCCAAUUCGAUGCAACGCGAAAGAGUACCACCACUUGACAUGUCUGGAAUCCCGAAGAGAUUUGGGAGUGUCGCAAGAAGGCAGGAACCUGGUGCUGCAUGGCUGUCGUCCAGCUCUAUUGUCGUGAGAUGUUGGGUUAAGUCCUGGCAGAGGCUGUACUCCUUGUCGUAGUUGCUACGAAAGGCACUCUAAUAGGACUGCCGGUGACAAACCGGAGGAAGGUGGGGAUGACGUCAGUCCUCAUGGCCCAUAUGGUGGGGCUUCACACGUCAUACAAUGGUCGGGAUAGAGGAUUAUAGCCGCGAGGAGCCAAUCCCAGAAACCCGAUCAUGAUCCGGAUCGCAGUCUGCAACUCGACUGCGUGAAGUCGGAAUCCCGCUAGUAAUCGCCAGGAUCAGCAUCUCGCGGUGAAUACGUUCCCGGGUCUUGUACACACCGCCCGUCACACCAUGGGAGUGGGUUGCAGAAGUAGUUAGCCUAACCAGGAGGGCGAUUACCACGGUAAGUUCAUGACUGGGGUGAAGUCGUAACAAGGUAA